rnacentral:rRNA from 1 species
UACGAAGGGGGCUAGCGUUGCUCGGAAUUACUGGGCGUAAAGGGCUUGUAGGCGGCCAACUAAGUCAGACGUGAAAUCCCUCGGCUUAACCGGGGAACUGCAUCUGAUACUGGAUGGCUUGAGUUCGGGAGAGGGAUGCGGAAUUCCAGGUGUAGCGGUGAAAUGCGUAGAUAUCUGGAGGAACACCAAUUGCGAAGGCAGCUGGCUACACGAAUAUUGACACUGAUGCACGAAAGCGUGGGGAUCAAACAGG